rnacentral:rRNA from 1 species
GACGAACGCUGGCGGCGUGCUUAACACAUGCAAGUCGAGCGGUAAGGCCCUUUCGGGGGUACGACGAGCGGCGAACGGGUGAGUAACACGUGGGUGACCUGCCCUCAGCUCUGGGAUAAGCCUGGGAAACCGGGUCUAAUACUGGAUAUGACUCCAUGACGCAUGUUGUGGGGUGGAAAGCCUUGUGCGGCUGAGGAUGGGCCCGCGGCCUAUCAGCUUGUUGGAGGGUAACGGCCUACCAAGGCGACGAUCCGUAGCUGGUCUGAGAGGACGGACCAGCCACACUGGAACUGAGAUACGGUCCAGACUCCUACGGGAGGCAGCAGUGGGGAAGUAUUGCACAAUGGGCGAAAGCCUGAUGCAGCGACGCCGCGUGAGGGA